rnacentral:pre_miRNA from 1 species
UAUAUACUCCCUUCGUCCGGAAACACUUGUCAUCAAAAUGGAUAAAAGGGAUGUAUCUAGAUGUAUUUUAGUUUUAGAUACAUCCCUUUUUGUCCAUUUUGAUGACAAGUAUUUUCGGACGGAGGGAGUAUAAU